UGAUGGGAGAACUAUGAAUUUUGAGAUGGU
rnacentral:piRNA from 1 species